AACGAACGCUGGCGGCAUGCCUAACACAUGCAAGUCGAACGAGACCUUCGGGUCUAGUGGCGCACGGGUGCGUAACGCGUGGGAACCUGCCCUUAGGUUCGGAAUAACUCCCCGAAAGGGGUGCUAAUACCGGAUAAUGUCUUCGGACCAAAGAUUUAUCGCUUUUGGAUGGGCCCGCGUUGGAUUAGCUAGUUGGUAGGGUAAAAGCAUACCAAGGCGACGAUCCAUAGCUGGUCUGAGAGGAUGAUCAGCCACACUGGGACUGAGACACGGCCCAGACUCCUACGGGAAGGAGCAGUAGGGAAUAUUGGACGAUGGGCGAAAGCCUGAUACAGCAAUGCCGCGGGAGUGAUGAAGGCCUUAGGGUUGUAAAGCUCUUUUACCCGGGAUGAUAAUGACAGUACCGGGAGAAUAAGCUCCGGCUAACUCCGUG
rnacentral:rRNA from 1 species